rnacentral:rRNA from 1 species
GACGAACCGAGCGAACGUUGUUCGGAAUCACUGGGCUUAAAGGGCGCGUAGGCGGGUAUUCAGGUCUAUGGUGAAAUCCGGCAGCUCAACUGUCGAAUUGCCGUGGAUACUGGGUAUCUCGAGGGAGGUAGGGGCGUGCGGAACUAAUGGUGGAGCGGUGAAAUGCGUUGAUAUCAUUAGGAACUCCGGUGGCGAAGGCGGCACGCUGGACCUCUUCUGACGCUGAGGCGCGAAAGCCAGGGGAGCAAACGGG